GAUGAACGCUGGCGGCGUGCUUAACACAUGCAAGUCGAGCGAAGCACUUAACUUUGAUUCUUUCGGGAUGAAGAGUUCUGUGACUUAGUGGCGGACGGGUGAGUAACGCGUGGGUAACCUGCCUCACACAGGGGGAUAACAGUUGGAAACGACCGCUAAUACCGCAUAACCCGCUAGGGCCGCAUGGCCCGGACGGAAAAGAUUUAUCGGUGUGAGAUGGACCCGCGUUGGAUUAGCUAGUUGGCAGGGUAACGGCCUACCAAGGCGACGAUCCAUAGCCGGCCUGAGAGGGUGAACGGCCACAUUGGGACUGAGACACGGCCCAAACUCCUACGGGAGGCAGCAGUGGGGAAUAUUGCACAAUGGGGGAAACCCUGAUGCAGCGACGCCGCGUGAGUGAAGAAGUAUUUCGGUAUGUAAAGCUCUAUCAGCAGGGAAGAAAAUGACGGUACCUGACUAAGAAGCCCCGGCUAACUACGUG
rnacentral:rRNA from 1 species